UACGUAGGGUGCGAGCGUUACUCGGAAUUACUGGGCGUAAAGCGUGCGCAGGCGGUUUUGUAAGACAGGCGUGAAAUCCCCGAGCUCAACUUGGGAAUUGCGCUUGUGACUGCAAGGCUAGAGUGUGUCAGAGGGGGGUAGAAUUCCACGUGUAGCAGUGAAAUGCGUAGAGAUGUGGAGGAAUACCGAUGGCGAAGGCAGCCCCCUGGGACAUGACUGACGCUCAUGCACGAAAGCGUGGGGAGCAAACAGG
rnacentral:rRNA from 1 species